GGAGGGGGUCAAAAAAAAAACAGAUAUAUAAGUAACAUGCGUUUCCAUACAAGCGGACGAACAAAACAAUGACGCAGAUGCAUAGAUAAAGCAACAAAAAAAAAACAUAAACGUAAAAAGGAGAAGAAAAAAGACACGCGCAUGCACACACAGACAGACGUACAGACACAAGCCAAGCUAUCCCAUCCCCCAUUGACUUCCUUUACCUUUUCCAUGCACCCCUCCCCCAUCCGUGCAGACACACACACACACACACACAUACGCGAACGCUUGCGUGCGUCCUCGAGUCUUGAGAGCGACCAGCAUUGAUACCUUCUCCCUUUUACACUCUUCGCUCCUGUUCUCUCCGUUUUCUGUUUUCUGUUUCUUGUUUGUUUUUUUCUUUGGUUUCGUGUCGCUCUCGGAUGUCCGCUGCUCCGCCAUCCUUUUUGGUGUAAAUAUGCUUCCUGUGGGCGUUGCGGUGUUGGUCGCUGUUACUUACUGCUGUGGCCUCUCAUGUGUCGUCGUCGUCCUCCUCCUCCUCCCCCUCUUGCGUCUGCAGAGUAGUGGGGUGUCUUCUUGUGUGUGUGUGUGCGUGUGCACACGUCUCUCUGCGAUGGCACGGCUUUUCCACUUUCCUUCUUCGCGUACCUCAACGGUGCCGAUGCUUGCGCAGCUUUCCUUCAGCAUCUUCGUCUAAACAAAGUCUUUUCGACUUUGGUGCGUGCGGUCUUUGCGUUCGGCUGUAGAAGUCUCGGUGCAGCGGCUGAGGAAAAAAGGCUCGGGCGCCUCUGGCGUCAGCUUCCGUGCGCACCGCUAACCCUCUCCCUUCCCCCUCCUCUCGCAUCCACAACCGCCGCCCACGCACACAUGAACUCACCAUAACUACUGCGUCCUCUCCCAUUAUACGUAAAAACAUACAAAGUCGAUG
rnacentral:misc_RNA from 1 species